GCGCGUACGUCUUAUCUAGCGAGCAUAUGGCACAGUUCCAGUGACUCGUCAGAGUUCCGCGUUACGGGUGUAUCGCUCUCGUUUGAGCUGCCCGUCUUGUGUGCCGCUGUAAUGAUUUGACAACGCGUGCGAUUCGAUUCUGAUCCGAUUAUUCGGUGGCUGCGACGUCGUUGAAUGACAUACGAAUCUGUUCGAAACAUUGUACUCAUUACGAAAACCGUUCCGUUGCAAAUAAAUAGAAGGGGUAUGCAAAAAAAAAAAUUACAAAAAGGCAGACUCCUUCCCCUCACGUCCACCCACAAUUCAAGCACUGGUAUACGAUGUCAUUUAUCUGCUAGCUGCACACGUAACUUCGGCACGUGUCCCACGUAAUAUAGUUAUACUGCCAGUAAUCACGCCUAUCUACAGGGCCUGUUUGGCCAAUGACGGCCCAAAAUAUUAAUAUGGCCCUAUUCAGAGCAACACUAAUGACGCCCGUACUAAUGACGGCCAGCGUCGUGGCCGAAAAUUGAAAACAGGUGGAAACAGAGUCCUUAUGGAAAUCUUGGGGCGGCUCCCUAUUCGGCCAAAAUAUACCCUUCCCUUUUCGGCCAGUGUCACUUUUCGGCCAAAACUUACUGUUUACUUUUCGGCCAGCACAGUUUUAACAACUUAUGAGUUAUGAUUAUAUCCAAAAAUGUGAUUUUUUUUUUAAAUUAUUACCUACCUAAUACUUUAUGAA